UACGUAGGGAGCAAGCGUUGUCCGGAAUCAUUGGGCGUAAAGAGCGUGUAGGCGGCCAUGUAGGUCCGGUGUGAAAACUCGAGGCUUAACCUCGAGAUGUCAUCGGAAACCAUUUGGCUAGAGUCCGGAAGAGGAGAGUGGAAUUCCUGGUGUAGCGGUGAAAUGCGCAGAUAUCAGGAAGAACACCAAUGGCGAAAGCAGCUCUCUGGGACGGUACUGACGCUGAGACGCGAAAGCGUGGGGAGCGAACAGG
rnacentral:rRNA from 1 species